GACAUAAAAAAUAAAAUACAAAAGAUUAAAACUGCUACACCUCUUCUCCCACGAUCUCCACUUCGCCUUAAUUCGCUCAAUUAUGGAACAACAAGCUGAUUUCAUACAAAAGCUCUCAAUCUCUUCCUUUUCUCAUCCCUCUUUCUGCUUCCUUUAAUCGGGAUUACUUCUCUUCAACAACUGCUUCGACUCCCGCACGACCACGAUUCCCACAACAUGAUAUCAUACAAAAGCUUCAGUAUCUCUUCCUUUCCUAUUUCCGGUUUCCUCCAACUUUUCCGGUUUACAUGGUUGGCGGUUCCAGCACCACAACACCGGACCACAAUGACACUUCUCCCUUCCUCUGUCUUCCAAUCUUCGUUUCUUCUACAAGUUCUUUAGUUUGCUACUGAAGUUUCAAGGAAUUUUGGGUGUUUUAUGUCAUUUAUGUAGUUGUAUAGUAAAUUUGGAACAUGGAUAGGUUUUCUUCUGACAUUUAAGCCUCGGGUUAGAGUGUGAAUGAUUCAUCUCUCUUAGUUUGGUUUGAGAUUGACAUGUAAGCUUACAAGGUUUGAUUCUGAGACUGAAUGGUCGUGUUUGCAGGGUAUUGAUUUGAUCGCUGAAGGUAAUAGAAAAAAGACCAAAAGGACAGCUCCAAAGUGAGAUGAUGUCUACCCUAAGCUUAUUGUCAAGGUUACAAAUUCAGCAACGAUCUCUCUCCUUUGUUUUUGUUUCCCUUAUUUAAAGUGGCUUUUAAUUGGGUGAGUCUUAGUGAGUAUAAGAUUUAUUUUGAAGUUUUGUAGCUUUACCGUUUUCUGGUAAGGAGAACUCAGAGCAAGUUCAAUUUUGUGUGAUAUUGAAGAGGCUUUUCUCUAUCUAAGCUUGUGGAAUGCGUGACUGGCAAGGUUUUAAUAACACCUUUGCUGAAAUUUAAACACUCGGUGGAUGAUUUAACUCUGUUGGAGAUGGAGAGCAUGAGGUCGGUCGGCCGCGAUGAGACUGAGAAUCAUAUUAGAAGAUAAAGAUGAUUGUUUGAUGAAAGAAGACAAAGAAAUAUUAUUUAUUUUUUAUGUUAAAAUUCACCAUGUUUAAUUAGGUCGUGCGUUCGGGCCAUGACACUAGUACUUGUUAAGUUACUGUAACUAUAAAACCCUUAAAUCUUUUGUAUUUAAUAUUCAUCACUAAAA